rnacentral:lncRNA from 1 species
ACAGAGUUGCAUAGUUCUCACAAAAUCUAGACAGUGAAAGGCAUAGGCAGAGUUCCACAUAGAGUCAAUGAAAGCAGAUUCUCACAGAAUCAUCCAAACAGUUCAAUACAUGGAAAACAGUCAAUCAGUUCGAGAGAUGAAUCAAGAGCAACAGAGCCUCACAGAUGCACAAAAUCGGUGUUUCUCUCAAGUGUUUAAGGUAAAUCAAUGUCACUCGAUGCACCAAGAAAGCAAACACAAAUAGACUUGGCAAGCCUCUAAUAUCAACACUCAAGCACACAUGCAUGUUCAAAUCAAAAGGUAUUUUCAUGGUUGUAAUGGGGCCAAGGACAAGGGAGGAUAUCAUAUGGAUGAGAAGCUAUAAACCAAGGGAAAUAGAGGAGCAAUGGGGAACAAGUGUAAACACAUUCAAAUCACACCCAAAACCUCUAAUUCAAUCCUCUUCUUGACUCCAUUAUUCACACUUUUUUUUUCCUCAUUUUUCUGCAUUUUUUUUUCAUCUUGUCUCUUUUCUUUUCUCUCUUUUCAGAACACAAUUCUAAGAGACAAGAUACAUGAUAUUUACAAUGCAACCGCAAGAAGAGGACUCACUAGCCAAUUCAUCUGCAACUCCUAAGAGACCACACUUAUUCC